ACGGCUCAGUAACACGUCGUUAAUCUGCCCUGUGGUCGUUGAUAACUUCGGGAAACUGAGGGUAAACAGCGAUAGGAGAUUUUACCUGGAACGGUAUUUCUCUGAAACUCGUGCCACAGGAUGAGACGGCGGUCGAUUAGGUUGAUGGUGGUGUAAUGGACCACCAUGCCUGUGAUCGAUACGGGCCUUGAGAGAGGUAGCCCGGAGAGGGACACUGAGAAACUGGUCCCAGCCCUACGGGGUGCAGCAGGCGCGAAACCUUUACAAUGCACGCAAGUGUGAUAAGGGAAUCCUUAGUGCUCAUGCAAUGCAUGGGCUUUUGCCAAGAGUAAAUAUCUUGGAGAAUAAGUGGUGGGUAAGACUGGUGCCAGCCGCCGCGGUAACACCAGCGCCACAAGUGGCAACCACGUUUAUUGGGCCUAAAGCGUCCGUAGCCGGUUUGGUAAAUCUUUUGUGAAAUCGUCAUGCUUAACGUGACGGCGUGCUUAAGACACUACUAAACUUGAGACCGGGAGGAGUCAGAGGUAUUCCUGAGGGAGCGGUAAAAUGUGAUAAUCUCAGGAGGAUCACCUAUGGCGAAGGCAUCUGACCAGAACGGAUCUGACGGUGAGGGACGAAGGCUAGGGGAGCGAUCCGGAUUAGAUACCCGAGUAGUCCUAGCAGUAAACGCUGCGAGCAAGAUGUUGCAUUUCUCAUGAGGAUGUGCAGUGUCGAAGCGAAGGCAUUAAGCUCGCCGCCUGGGAAGUACGGUCGCAAGACUGAAACUUUAAGGAAUUGGCGGGGGAGCAC
rnacentral:rRNA from 1 species